rnacentral:rRNA from 1 species
UAAUACCGCAUAGUAUCUGUGGAUUAAAGGUGGCUUUUGGGCUGUCGCAGAUGGAUGAGCCUGCGUUGGAUUAGCUAGUUGGUGGGGUAAGGGCCUACCAAGGCUACGAUCCAUAGCUGAUUUGAGAGGAUGAUCAGCCACAUUGGGACUGAGACACGGCCCAAACUCCUACGGGAGGCAGCAGUGAGGAAUAUUGGACAAUGGGGGCAACCCUGAUCCAGCAAUGCCAUGUGUGUGAAGAAGGCCUUAGGGUUGUAAAGCACUUUAGUUGGGGAAGAAAGCUUUGAGGUUAAUAGCCUUGAGGAAGGACGUUACCCAAAGAAUAAGCACCGGCUAACUCCGUGCCAGCAGCCGCGGUAAUACGGGGGGUGCAAGCGUUAAUCGGAAUUACUGGGCGUAAAGGGUCUGUAGGUGGUUUGUUAAGUCAGAUGUGAAAGCCCAGGGCUCAACCUUGGAACUGCAUUUGAUACUGGCAAACUAGAGUACGGUAGAGGAAUGGGGAAUUUCUGGUGUAGCGGUGAAAUGCGUAGAGAUCAGAAGGAACACCAAUGGCGAAGGCAACAUUCUGGACCGAUACUGACACUGAGGGACGAAAGCGUGGGGAUCAAACAGGAUUAGAUACCCUGGUAGUCCACGCUGUAAACGAUGAGUACUAGCUGUUGGAGUCGGUGUAAAGGCUCUAGUGGCGCAGCUAACGCGAUAAGUACUCCGCCUGGGGACUACGGCCGCAAGGCUAAAACUCAAAGGAAUUGACGGGGACCCGCACAAGCGGUGGAGCAUGUGGUUUAAUUCGAUGCAACGCGAAGAACCUUACCUGGUCUUGACAUCCUGCGAGCUUUCUAGAGAUAGAUUGGUGCCUUCGGGAACGCAGUGACAGGUGCUGCACGGCUGUCGUCAGCUCGUGUUGUGAAAUGUUGGGUUAAGUCCCGCAACGAGCGCAACCCCUAUUGAUAGUUACCAUCAUUAAGUUGGGUACUCUAUUGAGACUGCCGCUGACAAGGCGGAGGAAGGUGGGGACGACGUCAAGUCAUCAUGGCCCUUACGACCAGGGCUACACACGUGCUACAAUGGGUAUUACAGAGGGCUGCGAAGGAGCGAUCU